rnacentral:rRNA from 1 species
AGUGAACGCUGGCGGUAGGCCUAACACAUGCAAGUCGAACGGCAGCACAGUAAGAGCUUGCUCUUACGGGUGGCGAGUGGCGGACGGGUGAGGAAUACAUCGGAAUCUACUUUUUCGUGGGGGAUAACGGCGGGAAACUUACGCUAAUACCGCAUACGACCUACGGGUGAAAGCAGGGGAUCUUCGGACCUUGCGCGAUUGAAUGAGCCGAUGUCGGAUUAGCUAGUUGGCGGGGUAAAGGCCCACCAAGGCGACGAUCCGUAGCUGGUCUGAGAGGAUGAUCAGCCACACUGGAACUGAGACACGGUCCAGACUCCUACGGGAGGCAGCAGUGGGGAAUAUUGGACAAUGGGCGCAAGCCUGAUCCAGCCAUACCGCGUGGGUGAAGAAGGCCUUCGGGUUGUAAAGCCCUUUUGUUGGGAAAGAAAAGCAGCAGGUUAAUACCCCGCUGUUCUGACGGUACCCAAAGAAUAAGCACCGGCUAACUUCGUG